UCAGCCUAGGUUUCAGCAUACGAUUUUGUAUUGAUUUUGUAGCGUUUCAAGUUGAAACUUAGGUUGAAGACUUUAAGUCUUCUAAAGUAGAAUUCAUACAGGUCGUCCACAUUCAAGUGAUUGAUCGUAAAGGUUGUAGAAAUGUCUAAAAUUCUCGAGGCUCAGGAACAUUGUAAAGCAGCAGAAAAAUAUUUAAAGACGGGUUUGCUGAAGUGGAAGCCAGACUAUGAUUCAGCUGCUGAUGAAUUUAGUCAAGCAGCUCAAUGUUACCGCAUAGCCCGUGAUGUGAAGAACUCCAAGGAGUGUCACAUGAAGGCUGCAGAACUAUAUGAGAAGAACCGUUCAUUCUUUCAUGCUGCUAAGGCUAUUGAGAAUGCAGUUAUUGUCAGCAAGGAGUUGUCUUCACCCGAGGAAUUGUACAACAUGGCAUGCAACUCAAGCAGCUUGUACCAGCAACAUGGUUCAGGAGAUGCUGGCGCAAAUGUUCUGGACAAAGUUGCCAAGAUUAUUGAAGAGAAGGCUCCCGAGCUUGCUGUCAAGUUAUUCCAACAGGCAGCUGAUGUGUCUUCGGUCGAAAGCUCUCAACAUCAAGGUACAGAAUACAUAAGCAAGUCGUCUCGCCUUCUUGUGAAACUGGAGAGAUAUGAUGAAGCUUUGGAUAGCCUUAGACGUGAGAUUGGCUUCCACCUUGAAUCAGGUUAUGCUGGGGCAGUGGGACGACUUACAGUUGCCAUUGUCCUUGUACAACUGGCUAGAGGCGAUGCCGUGGCAGCUGAAAAAGCUUAUAAGGAAUGGGGUAACAACUGCGAAGUGCCUGAAAUGCAAACUUUGGAAAUGCUCUUACAAGCAUAUGAUGAAGAGGAUCGUGAUGCAGCAAAAAGAGCGCUUGCGUCGCCAUUUAUACGUAGCAUGGACGUUGAGUAUGCAAGAUUGGCGGGAACUAUACCUCUGCCUGAAGGGAUUGAUCCAGCUCCAAAAGCAGCUGUAAGAGAACAUGCGGCGCCGUCCUAUGUCAGCGCGAAUAUUGGAGAUAACUGUCGAAGUUUAUAAAAAUCGAUUUCGUAGUUGUGGGAUUAAGGACUUGUAUACAUACAUAAAUUUUGACAGGGUGAAGAAGCGGGGAUGUCACGGGCAGAGAUAGAAGAAAUCGAGUAUGCUGAUAAUAGAAAGACCGAAGAAGAAGACGAUUUGUGUUGAAUACCAGGUAUUAUCUCGCUGGAUAUGAGGAUUUUUCCUAAAUUGCACGUGUGUUGUAUGCAUUUAUUGCAUUAAUUGCAUACUUUAUUGGUAUGAAGCUAAAAAUCUAUUUGUAAUGUGUAAAAUUGUUGUUUGUAUUUUACAUUUAUUAUGCUAUGUUGUUUGAAAAUAUAGCCUAUUUAUUCAGGCAUUGUAAUUGUUUCACCAUUUCGACAUAUGUUUAGUAGUUUAAAUGUCAUUCAUACAUAUAUUUUCGGAAUAAUAUGGAGUCGUGAAAAAUAAAUUUUACAUAUGAUUAUUAUACCGUUCCAGCACAGCUUAAUUCGAAAGUACUUUAGUUGAUCAAGACUUGUAGGUUUAUAUGCGUUCUAAUUGUUAUUUCGGCUGGGAAGCAAAAAAAUCAGUACAUUUAGAAAUGUAUUUCAAAACACGUUUUUGCCCUCACUGAUUUUUUUCUUUUCUAAUAGCAACUUAGUAUUAUGAAAUUGUUUUUCUGCAUAUAAUUUAAAGAUGUCGUUGCUGCAGUAGUUAUCUUAGUAGAUAGGGACAGAAAAUAUGUCGAAUUAAGUAUAUAUUAAUACUUUACGAAAUAGCUGAAAGAAUUAUCGCUUCGUAUAAUAUUUAUCUAUAUAGAUAAGGAAUAUACUUAGUCAUUUGUUUCGUUUAGUGAAGUAAGUAAUUCGCUAUAGUACUUUUUAAAGUAAGAGUGAAUUAUAUUAAUUAUAUUAAUGUGUUAAUUGUCUGUUCUUGCAAAAUGUAUCUAAUAAUAUAUCUAGAAAAUUGUUUAUUUAAAAAUGAUAAUUUUUAAUACUAAACUUCUAGUAAAUAUUCGAUUUGAAUGUAAAUUUAUAUUUGGCAUACUUGACACUACAUUCAUAGGCCUAUAUUCUAAAAUUUAACUGAAUCUUGAAUGUAGUUUUCCGAUGUUUUAGAUCAAUACCCUGAGUUAUUUCAAUUCAAGGGUCAUAUGCUCAUAGAUCUUAAUAUCAUAUCAAUUAACACACCUUAUAUAUAUAUUUGUAUCAGUUUUAUUUAAAGGACCUAUUAUAUAAUGUCGAAGGUUUUCGUAAUAAAUAAUUUUAUAUGAAAAUGAAUUGCAUAUAAGGAUGCAUUUAUUUGUAUAUAGAUUUGCUAGAUGUAUUUGAACAAUAUUCAUACAAAAUUUCUUGUAUCGUUAGUAGAAUUUGAUUUUUUUGACUUGUUAUAUCAUUCCAUGUCAUGGGAUAUGUCUACGCCUCAUUAUGGCCUAUUUCUCUAUGUAUUUCGUCCACAAUAUACUCGCUUAGCAAUGUAAGGUGAAUAGACACUACCGUCACAACUACUGUUAGACGUCACAUUCCUAAUUUCUGGGUAAAGUACUGCUAAAUCUAAAACGCAGGGAAAAUCACUGCGUUAUCCGUUUGUUUACCAAACCACACAAGCUUUUAAAUAAUCAUCUUUCAAGUCAAUGCAGCUUUUAUUUUUUCAUGAAUAUCGAUUACAUUCUUAGUCUAGAGCAAUGCAAUUGGAAAAGUAACAAUAAAGAGAACGUAAAAUAUUUUCACAUAUUUAUUGAAGCAACACGUUCAAUUUACUGACAGGUUAUCAUAUUAAAUAAAAAUAAAAUAAUGAACUUAAUUAGUUAGAUUGUCUAGUGGAGAUUGUCUUUAUAUACCAUUGUUUGUAAAUUAAACGCAAUUUGAUCGAUAGUAAGAUCACACUAGCUAUAAAUGAUAAAUGUAUAUUUCAGGUAAAAUAGUAGUGUCAAAAAAAUCUUAAUAUUUCCUAAAUUUAGAAAUAAUACUUUUAAAGUAAUGGUCACAGGUUUUCAGAAACAUCCCACCAUCUUUAUGAAUUUUUAAAAUUCUUAAACACACUCUAAUGUCUCUUAUGCUACUUCCUCAACCUGUAGCUUCGCUUCCUAAAUCAUCUAUCUAGAAACCUACAUUGAUUUGUUAAAAAGUAAAAAGUUGGUGUUGUAGUAAUAAAAGCAUAUGAAAAUAUAUUAGCAAUUCCCCCUUUAAAGUAGCUUAUGAUAUCUUGCUAAUUAAAUUUUUUACAUUAUAGUACAUUUUUGAAAAAACUUUUACAUGAAUAUUAUUUUCCAUGGUCGGUUAUGUUACAACAUGUAGUGAUAUUGGGUUCUUAUGUUAUAUAUUCUGUUAGUUAGUUAGUUUUAUCAUAGUAAAUAUAUCCAUGCAUAAAUGUUAAAUUAGUAUUUUAAUAAAUUUAAUCCUGUGAAUGGAGAAUCAAUAUGUAAAUUGAACAUUUUGUUAAACAACACAACGAAAGUAGGUUAACAUGAGAAAAUAUGCACAGCAGAUUUCUGCAGUUAUUUGUUGUUGUGUUGUGUAUAUAUCAUAUAUAAAGAAAUAAUUUGUUUAUUACAAUUAAUAUGAAUUCCAAGUUAGACUGUUUCUUUGUUAAAUAGCCAAUUCAUUUCAUAGACACUUACUUUUUAACUUGUAUUUAUAAAAGAAGUAAUUCAUACUAAUGUAUGAAUUGCCUAAUAUAUGAACAUACUAUAUAGGAUAUAAUUUCGGCAUAACAGAACAGAUUUCAAUUUGACAUGUAUUUUUUAUUAAUUGGUUACCUGAAUUAUGUAAACUUUAUUGUAUAGUUUAAGUGUUAUGGAUCUUAUACAAAUAUUGUUUAUGUUGAUGUUAUGUAAAUUUAGAAUAUUUCAUGCAUAAGAAUAAAGCUUUCAAUGA